rnacentral:rRNA from 1 species
GAUGAACGCUGGCGGCGUGCCUAAUACAUGCAAGUCGAGCGAACAGACGAGGAGCUUGCUCCUCUGACGUUAGCGGCGGACGGGUGAGUAACACGUGGAUAACCUACCUAUAAGACUGGGAUAACUUCGGGAAACCGGAGCUAAUACCGGAUAAUAUAUUGAACCGCAUGGUUCAAUAGUGAAAGACGGUUUUGCUGUCACUUAUAGAUGGAUCCGCGCCGCAUUAGCUAGUUGGUAAGGUAACGGCUUACCAAGGCGACGAUGCGUAGCCGACCUGAGAGGGUGAUCGGCCACACUGGAACUGAGACACGGUCCAGACUCCUACGGGAGGCAGCAGUAGGGAAUCUUCCGCAAUGGGCGAAAGCCUGACGGAGCAGCGCCGCGUGAGUGAUGAAGGUCUUCGGAUCGUAAAACUCUGUUAUUAGGGAAGAACAAAUGUGUAAGUAACUAUGCACGUCUUGACGGUACCUAAUAAGAAAGCAACGGCUAACUACGUG